ensembl:lncRNA
CACACCAGUAACCAGUACCAAUACCAAUACCAGUACCGUUCUCCUCCUACACCCUGCCCGCCCAGUGAGGUACUGGUCUGCACUCACACCAGUAACCAGUACCAAUACCAGUACUGUUCUCCUCCUACACCCUGCCCGCCCAGUGAGGUACUGGUCUACACUCACACCAGUACCAGUACUGGUACCAGUAACGUUCUCCACCUACACCAGUGAGGUACUGGUCUACACUCAAACCAGUACCAGUACUGGUACCAGUAACGUUCUCCACCUACACCAGUGAGGUACUGGUCUACACUCAAACCAGUACCAGUACUGGUACCAGUAACGUUCUCCACCUACACCAGUGAGGUACUGGUCUACACUCAAACCAGUACCAGUACUGGUACCAGUAACGUUCUCCACCUACACCAGUGAGGUACUGGUCUACACUCAAACCAGUACCAGUACUGGUACCAGUAACGUUCUCCACCUACACCAGUGAGGUACUGGUCUACACUCAAACCAGUACCAGUACUGGCACCAGUAACGUUCUCCACCUACACCAGUGAGGUACCAGCCCGGUUCUACAGAACAUCUCCAUCAGGCCCUCGAUCCUGAGGCGGAUCAAACCGGUCGCUCCACCUCCUUCCACCCUACUCUAACGCAUCCACCUCCACCCUACUCUAACAGCUCCACCUCCACCCUACUCUAACAGCUCCACCUCCACCCUACUCUAACGCAUCCAUCUCCACCCUACUCUAACAGCUCCACCUCCACCCUACUCUAACAGCUCCACCUCCACCCUACUCUAACAGCUCCACAUCCACCCUACUCUAACGCAUCCACCUCCACCCUACUCUAACAGCUCCACCUCCACCCUACUCUAACAGCUCCACCUCCACCCUACUCUAACGCAUCCACCUCCACCCUACUCUAACGCAUCCACCUCCACCCUACUCUAACGCAUCCACCUCCACCCUACUCUAAUGCAUCCACCUCCACCCUACUCUAAUGCAUCCACCUCCACCCUACUCUAACAGCUCCACCUCCACCCUACUCUAACAGCUCCACAUCCACCCUACUCUAACAGCUCCACCUCCACCCUACUCUAAUGCAUCCACCUCCACCCUACUCUAACAGCUCCACCUCCACCCUACUCUAACGCAUGCACCUCCACCCUACUCUAACAGCUCCACCUCCACCCUUAUUCUAACAGUUCCACCUCCACCCUACUCUAACAGCUCCACCCUUAUUCUAACAGUUCCACCUCCACCCUACUCUUAACAGCUCCACCUCCACCCUUAUUCUAACAGUUCCACCUUCACCCUACACUUAACAGCUCCACCUCCACCCUUAUUCUAACAGUUCCACCUGCAACCUACUCUUAACAGCUCCACAGCGGUGUCCUCACCCUUAAUGUGGACUCACUCUAAAGGUGGACUCACCCUUAAUGUUGACUCACCUUUAAUGUGGACUCACCCUAAAGGUGGACUCACCCUAAAGGUGGACUCACCCUUAAUGUAGACUCACCCUUAAUGUAGACUCACCCUUAAUGUGGACUCACCCUUAAUGUGGACUCACCCUUAAUGUGGACUCACCCUUAAUGUGGACUCACCCUUAAUGUGGACUCACCCUUAAUGUGGACUCACCCUUAUUGUGGACUCACCCUUAAUGUGGACUGACCCUUAGGGUGGACUCACCCUUAGUGUGGACUCACCCUUAAUGUGGACUCA